ensembl:snRNA U2 U2 spliceosomal RNA
AUCACUUCUCAGCCUUUUGGCUAAGAUCUAGUGUAGUAUCUGUUCUUAUCAGUUUAAAAAGGGGGUAUUCUACAAAAAAUGGGAAGAACAAUCCUAGCACAAGAAAAAAUACUCAAAAUCAUUAUCCCUU